rnacentral:rRNA from 1 species
UACGAAGGGGGCUAGCGUUGCUCGGAAUCACUGGGCGUAAAGGGUGCGUAGGCGGGUCUUUAAGUCAGGGGUGAAAUCCUGGAGCUCAACUCCAGAACUGCCUUUUGAUACUGAGGAUCUUGAGUUCGGGAGAGGUGAGUGGAACUGCGAGUGUAGAGGUGAAAUUCGUAGAUAUUCGCAAGAACACCAGUGGCGAAGGCGGCUCACUGGCCCGAUACUGACGCUGAGGCACGAAAGCGUGGGGAGCAAACAGG